rnacentral:rRNA from 1 species
UACGUAGGGUGCAAACGUUGUCCGGAAUUAUUGGGCGUAAAGCGCAUGUAGGUGGUUUUGUAAGUGAGCGAUUAAAGACCGAUGCUUAACAUCGGGACUGUUGCUCAUACUGCAUGACUAGAGUAUGGCAGGGGCAAGUGGAACUUUAGGUGUAGGAGUGAAAUCCGUAGAUAUCUAAAGGAACACCAAUGGACGAAGGCAGCUUGCUGGGCCACUACUGACACUGAGAUGCGAAAGCGUGGGGAGCGAACGGG